GGAUUCUGGCUCAGGAUGAACGCUAGCGGCAGGCCUAACACAUGCAAGUCGAGGGGCAGCGGGGAAAAGCUUGCUUUUCCGCCGGCGACCGGCGCACGGGUGCGCACCGCGUAUGGAACCUGCCUUGUACAGGGGAAUAGCCUUUGGAAACGAAGAUUAAUGCCCCAUGGUACCACGACCCGGCAUCGGGAUGUGGUUAAAGCCCUCGGGCGGUACAAGAUGGCCAUGCGUCCCAUUAGCUUGUUGGUAAGGUAACGGCUUACCAAGGCUACGAUGGGUAGGGGCCCUGAGAGGGGGAUCCCCCACACUGGUACUGAGACACGGACCAGACUCCUACGGGAGGCAGCAGUGAGGAAUAUUGGACAAUGGAGGAGACUCUGAUCCAGCCAUGCCGCGUGCAGGAAGAAUGCCCUAUGGGUAGUAAACUGCUUUUAUACGGGAAGAAAAAGGGCUACGUGUAGCCUACUGACGGUACCGUAAGAAUAAGGACCGGCUAACUCCGUGCCAGCAGCCGCGGUAAUACGGAGGGUCCGAGCGUUAUCCGGAAUUAUUGGGUUUAAAGGGUCCGUAGGCGGGCCGAUAAGUCAGGGGUGAAAGUCUGCCGCUCAACGGUAGAACUGCCUUUGAUACUGUCGGUCUUGAGUUAUAGUGAAGUUGCCGGAAUAUGUAGUGUAGCGGUGAAAUGCAUAGAUAUUACAUAGAACACCGAUUGCGAAGGCAGGUGACUAACUAUAUACUGACGCUGAUGGACGAAAGCGUGGGGAGCGAACAGGAUUAGAUACCCUGGUAGUCCACGCCGUAAACGAUGGAUACUAGCUGUCCGGGGCCUUGAGUUCUGGGCGGCCAAGCGAAAGUGAUAAGUAUCCCACC
rnacentral:rRNA from 1 species